rnacentral:misc_RNA from 1 species
GGCAGUCCCAUCAAGUUUGAGCUUGAUUGUUUGGCUAUGCAAUUGCAUUCCUUUCCCCAAAUCAUGUGCAGUAUUGCAGGUUCCCAAUAAGCCGACAAAGGUAAAGCGGUCCGGAACCAACCCUUGUUGGCACAUACUUCUGUAGACUUCAAAUGCUUUCUCUCUUUGAUUACUUUCUACCAAACCCAUUAUGAUUGUGUUGUAAGAGACAUCAGUAAGAC